rnacentral:rRNA from 1 species
UACGUAGGGUGCAAGCGUUGUCCGGAAUUAUUGGGCGUAAAGAGCUCGUAGGCGGUCUGUCACGUCGGCUGUGAAAUCCCGAGGCUCAACCUCGGGUCUGCAGUCGAUACGGGCAAACUAGAGUAUUGCAGGGGAGACUGGAAUUCCUGGUGUAGCGGUGAAAUGCGCAGAUAUCAGGAGGAACACCGGUGGCGAAGGCGGGUCUCUGGGUAGUAACUGACGCUGAGGAACGAAAGCGUGGGUAGCGAACAGG